GCGGGGGUUGCCGAGUGGCCAAAGGCGGUGGACUCAAGACCUGAUGGGGAGAAAUCCACUCCCGUAGGGGUUCGAGGGUUCGAAUCCCUCCCCCCGCA
rnacentral:tRNA from 1 species